UUCACACCUUCCUGUGGGAUUAUUUCAAACCCCUGUUUCCUGAUGACCCAACAUCCUCCUGCAAUCAACUGGCAGGGAUGAAGCCUGCCAACCCCUCAGGUAGCAGCCUGGCCCUGCCCAGCGCCAUUUUCAGCAACAUCCUGUGUUCACAACUUUCCAGCUCGGCUCCAAAUGCCAAUUUUGGUUUGUGAAAAUUUCCAUGGCCUCCUGCUGUGCACCCUUCAUAUUCCAGCCCAUAGACGCAGUGCUCUGCUAGACCGUGUCCCUUUUAUGCGGGGCUCCCUGUGUGCUGUGCCAUUAUCACCUUACACAGGACACUUGUGACUUCUUUUAACAACCCCACUGUGAAGGAAGGGUCGUCUUGGGAACCCAGAGAAGGUAAGGACUGUCUACUCCCUACAACCCAGCAUAGAGGCCCACAAAGAGAAGGCAACAAGAAUCAGACCCAAAUCCAUAAUUUUGAGGAGACAAGUCUCUUAUUUUUUGUCAAGAAAGAGACCAUUCAAGUGUAGUUAACAACACAGGCUUUUCACAAUCUAAUUCAUGCAAAGAGUGUUUGAGUGGUUUUUGUUGUUAACUGAACUGACUAAGUAAACGAUUGCACAUGUACACGCUAAGAAGAAAUAGGAAGCAUCUGUGUAUCAAUAUGGACCAACCUCUGGGAUAUAAUAAACAAAAGAGCCAACUACAGGACACUGUGUGCGCACACAGAGAAGAAAACUGCGUGUUGUGUAAUAUUUUAAAAUUAGAGACCAGAAAUAUGAACUAUAAUUAAAAAAAAAUGAUUACCUGUAAGAGAAGAAAAAAAUGGGUAAUGAGGUAAGAACAAAUGUUUAGACUCUUUGUAAAUGGAUUUGGUAGAUUGGACUUUGGAAUCAUGUAAAUGUUUCAUGUAAUCAUCAAAAACUUACUUUAAAAAUAUUAAGGGGUUUCAGAGACAACUGAGCUGUUAAGAUCAAAGUACUGUUUUCCAGAGGCCCCAAGUUCUGUUCGCAACACCUAAUCUCCACACCUGUCCUCUCUCUCUCUCUCUCUCUCUCUCUCUCUCUCUCUCUCUCUCUCUCUCUCUCUCUCUCUCUCUCACACA